GCAAAAGGAUGAGAAGCAAAUAGGAGGAAAGACUUCAAGGCCUGGUGUCUUAGGUUUGUUCCCCCCACGAGGAGAUAAGGAUUCAGAUGCAAGGGGUUCAUUUUCGAGGGGGAUCUCGGAAGCACCAGGAAGGGUCGAGGAAGUGAGAAUGGGCAGGAAAGGGAAAAAAAAAAAUUCCGGUGUGCCCAGAGCAGGCUAUGUCAGUGGGCACUGGUGCUCCAUCUUACUGGACUUCUGCCAGGGCAUGUAGAUGCGCCUCAUGCCUGAUGGAUGCAAAGCUGAAGCAUCUGGCACUAAUGAUCAUUCACGAUUGGUUGCAGGCUACUUCUGUAGGGGGUCACUCCCUGGUCCUUCUAGCCUGCCCUGUGCACAGGUUGAGGACAGUCCUGUGGCUGGAGAAAGCUGGAUCUGAAGGUUGUAGAAACUUGCGGAAAGAAGCCAUCAAAGUGACUUGGAAAGAGGUUUUAGCAAUGGUAUUUUUAUACACAGAGGAAGUACUCAAGAUGGAAAGACACAUCUCAAAAGGCCUGACAUCUACAUCGAUUUUCCUGAAUGACUUUUAUUUUCAUUGCUCAGGACGUUAGCAUCUUCUGAAAUGUCACGUUUAAAAGGCUGACUGGCCUUAUUGUUACAAGAUAGCACCAAAACUUACUUUUCAUUUAUGUCCAGAGAUAAGAGAAGGUUUAAGUCUUUCUCUUAAUGAUCCAACAAACAUCCUGAGAUCACCCUGCCAUCCUGAUUAAACCAACUGGGUUCCAUGCUAACUGUAAAUCAUGGAUAGGGAAUUGCAUAUGUUGAUAGGCUCAGGUCUGGAAUCUCGUCCAUCAGGAGCAAGAGGAGGGGUCAACCCUGCAUAAACCCAUAGCUGCUCCCGUAGGGAAUGGAUGAGACGGAGAUUGGGAACGCAAGCAGGCAUGUCACUUCAGAGUUUAAGCGGCAGGGUGGCACUUGAGAUUUAGAAAGAUGGCUUUGCAGCAUUGUGGAUUUAACUGCUGAAGGUGAGUGACAUUGGAGACAGAGAGGCCAGUCAGGAGGUAAUUUAAGGGAUCCUGGCAAGAAAAGAUAAGUGUGCAUGAAAAUGGGGGGCAAUGUGAGUCAAGAGGACUCACUUCAUGGUGUGACGGAGCUAAUAGAAAUUGGGGACCACCUUGAUGCGGAGAAUGAGGGAGGUGGGAUGGGGUAAGAAUGCCUUGCCCAUUUCUGAUGUCGUGGUGAAAGUGGAGGUGCGGUUCAUUAGGAGAAGUGGAGGGAGAAGACAUUUAAGUUUUGGAGGAAAGAUGACUAGGUCUGUGAUCUUUUCUUUUUAUGUGUUUUUCUUUCUUUCUUUUCUUUCUUUCUUUCUUUCUUUCUUUCUUUCUUUCUUUCUUUCUUUCUUUCUUUCUUUCUUUCUUUUUUUUUUUCUUUCUUUCUUUCUUUCUUUCUUUCUU
rnacentral:lncRNA from 1 species